rnacentral:rRNA from 1 species
GACGGGGGGGGCAAGUGUUCUUCGGAAUGACUGGGCGUAAAGGGUGCGUAGGCGGGUCUUUAAGUCAGGGGUGAAAUCCUGGAGCUCAACUCCAGAACUGCCUUUGAUACUGAAGAUCUUGAGUUCGGGAGAGGUGAGUGGAACUGCGAGUGUAGAGGUGAAAUUCGUAGAUAUUCGCAAGAACACCAGUGGCGAAGGCGGCUCACUGGCCCGAUACUGACGCUGAGGCACGAAAGCGUGGGGAGCAAACAGG